rnacentral:rRNA from 1 species
GUGGGGAAUAUUGGACAAUGGGCGAAAGCCUGAUCCAGCCAUGCGGCGUGUGUGAAGAAGGUCUUCGGAUUGUAAAGCACUUUAAGUUGGGAGGAAGGGUAGUAACCUAAUACGUUGCUACUUUGACGUUACCGACAGAAUAAGCACCGGCUAACUUCGUGCCAGCAGCCGCGGUAAUACGAAGGGUGCAAGCGUUAAUCGGAAUUACUGGGCGUAAAGCGCGCGUAGGUGGUUCAGUAAGUUGGGAGUGAAAUCCCCGGGCUCAACCUGGGAACUGCUUUCAAAACUGCUGAGCUAGAGUACGGUAGAGGGUGGUGGAAUUUCCUGUGUAGCGGUGAAAUGCGUAGAUAUAGGAAGGAACACCAGUGGCGAAGGCGACCACCUGGACUGAUACUGACACUGAGGUGCGAAAGCGUGGGGAGCAAACAGGAUUAGAAACCCGGGUAGUCC